rnacentral:rRNA from 1 species
GUCCACGCCGUAAACGAUGGGUACUAGGCGCCGGGGGAUCGACCCCUUCGGUGCCGUCGCUAACGCAAUAAGUACCCCGCCUGGGGAGUACGGCCGCAAGGCUGAAACUCAAAGGAAUUGACGGGGCCCGCACAAGCGGUGGAGCAUGUGGUUCAAUUCGAAGCAACGCGAAGAACCUUACCUGGGCUUGACAUGCACGGGAAAGCCGGUGGAAACAUCGGCCCCUCUUCGGAGUCCGUGCACAGGUGCUGCAUGGCUGUCGU